AUUGAACGCUGGCGGCAUGCCUUACACAUGCAAGUCGAACGGCAGCACGGGAGCAAUCCUGGUGGCGAGUGGCGAACGGGUGAGUAAUAUAUCGGAACGUGCCCGGUCGUGGGGGAUAACGUAGCGAAAGCUACGCUAAUACCGCAUACGAUCUACGGAUGAAAGCGGGGGAUCGCAAGACCUCGCGCGAUUGGAGCGGCCGAUAUCAGAUUAGGUAGUUGGUGAGGUAAAGGCUCACCAAGCCGACGAUCUGUAGCUGGUCUGAGAGGACGACCAGCCACACUGGGACUGAGACACGGCCCAGACUCCUACGGGAGGCAGCAGUGGGGAAUUUUGGACAAUGGGCGCAAGCCUGAUCCAGCAAUGCCGCGUGCAGGAUGAAGGCCUCGGUGUAACGUAG
rnacentral:rRNA from 1 species